rnacentral:lncRNA from 1 species
AAUCCUCAUAUUUCGAGAAUUCACUUCCUCACACCGAGAGUGAAAUUUUGGACCGAAUCGAUGUCAACGUUCACAAUAACCAAAACCGGAACAAUAUUAGACUACUCUGUUGCGCCCUAACAGUAUAACUUUGCAACGAGCACUUUUUCUCAUUCAAUCGAACAAAGUGUAAAACCUAAUUAUAUUGUUCUAUUAUGCCCCUAGAGUGUAAAUUUGGAACGAAUCAAUGUGAACGUUCACAAGAACCAAAACCGGAACAAUAUUAGAUUACUCUGUUGCGCCCUAACUGUCACGCCCCAGACCGCACCACCCGAAAACGGUACCAAUUUGGUCCGGUUCGAGGGCGGUGGCGCGACCGCCGAACGGACGGAGUUUCCCCUGUCCGCCCAAGGCUAAGCAACAGAUUGUCUACAACAAGUCCCCAGGAAAACAACUUGCAUUCAUACACAAUCAACAACGAAACGAGAGCACAAACAGUGCUACAACCAACUAGAGCAAGCGAUACAAGUAAAAUCAUACAAGUAUACAAAAGAGAGAAACUUAUCUAUUUGAGACAUAAUUGAAUAUUCAACCUCUUUCGAUAUCAUUUAAACUUUAAGCAUUUAAUACAACUUGCAUUCUUUUUCCAAAUGAAUAUACAUCAUAAACUCUCCAAAACCUCACCCUAUACAUCAUCUACUCUCAAAGCAUAACCAAAAGUACAGGGUAUAGAGCUAAUGCAAGUAGGUAAAGGAAGCUAUCUACCAAAAGCUAGGGCGCUAUGCCCUUACCAUGAUCCAUCGCUGAAGGCCCGCUGUCCUGUGUACCUGUACCCCCAAAGCCACACGGGGGUGAGAACUACGAAUAGUUCCCAGUGGGUUCGGCCGCCGACUCCGCCGAUCUACCCACUAGGUCUCAAGCAGGCAUAGAGAGAUAUAUAUGCAAUAUAUAUAUAACUGAGCUAAACUGAAAGCAGGUAUGUAAACGACUAUAUCAAGCUAUGCCUCAAUCUGGAAUCAUGAAUGCAUGAACAAUAAAUAAAGCUGGGUAAGUAAGCAACUAUCAACAUCUACAACAGCUAUCGUAGUAAGCUAUAAACGUGCUACUAGGUAAGCAAACAGGCUGAUAUGAACAAUGAACAGCUACUAUGAACAUCAAUCACGGGUAAGACUCAAUGGGUAACCCAAUCUCCAAGCGAACACAAGGUUCACAAGUAAGGCUCACAUAUCAAUCUCCGAGGGAUGCCUAGCUGGUCGAUCCCCGAGUACGCCUGCGGAUAACAAGCGGCUAUCCGAGCAGCGAGCAGGGCUGCCUCUCUAGUGACCAAACUCCGGAGCGCACAACUUGAGGGGAGCGACCCCACCAAGCGCAGACAGGCAAUGUGAGCAAGAUCAUCUCACGAGCAACAACAACCCUUUGAGGGUAAUAUCAUCAUGAAAGCAAGGUAUACUUGUAUCCAAUCUCAUAGUGUCUCAACUACACUAAUAUGACCAUCUCAAGCAACGUCAACAUGUGCCACUCAAUCAUAGUUUUCUAACUAGAUGCCACUCGUCAUUUAGACUCAUUAUCAACACUAGUUUCAUCAUACUAGUUCUUUAGCAACAUAAGCAUUGAUCACCUCAUAUAGGGUCUAGGGUUUCAUCAAGCAAUCAUCAUGCAUACUAGAUCAUAAACCAACCAAGCAAGAUAUAUAUAUUGAACUACUAGCAUGCAAGUAUAAGCAACAAUAAUCAUUUUCUAACCCUAUAUGUUUAUGCACAAUAUGCAAAUAGAUCAAAUUAAACUUAGACAUAGAAGGUAGCCCGAUGACUUCGGGAUGGCACUCCCCCACCUUAGGUGAUGCCGCAAACACUCUGAGACGCGUUCUCGUGCUAGUUUUGUCGCCGCUUAAUUUUCGUUGGGUUAACUUUAACCCUUUAGCGCAUCAAAUGGCGAUAUCUUCGUGCCCACUCGUCGGAUCGACGAACCGUCUUCGCCUACGCGUUUAUAAGCAUGGAAAUUAGGUUUCUAACCCCUCAAAAGAGAUCAAACCCUUAUAUUUCCAAAAAACCCAAAUCUAACCCUAGGUUUAGCAACAAUAGAGAAAUCAUGGUUUCAAGCUCCAAAUUUGGGAUUGAACCUUCUCUUAAGCUCCAAUGGUUUACAUUUGAACCACCCUUAAGCAACAAAACCCUUUUUAAAACCUAGGUUUAGCAAUAAUGAGGAAAACCAUGGGUGCUAGCCUCAAUGUGAGCUAGAUCCAUCAUCUCUAAACUCAUUAGGUUCCAUUUGAACCAAUUAAAGCAACAAAAACCUCCCAAACCCUAGAAAUCCAAAACUAGGGUUAGAGCUUACCUCUAGGGUUUGCUCCAAAGCAAGCCCUAGCUUGAAAACGUGGAGGAGAAGAGCUUCUUCUCUUUCCCCUUGAUCUUCUCCUUCCUUUUCUUCCUCUCUUCUUCUUCUUUCUCUCCUUCUUUUUCCUUUUCUCCUUCUUCUUCAACCGGUUAGAGAGAGAGAGAGGGGGGCUGUGGGAGUGAGAGAGGAGAGAGCUGAGAGUGAGGGGGUUAAGUUCUCUAUUGUAACAAAAUGCUAAAGAGCCCUCCUUUUAUCAGAUUUUGCAACUUAACCCGCUGCUGCCGCGCCCUUGUACCGGUACACGGGACCUUGUACCGGUACAAGGCCUUAUACGGAGCGCAAACCGAGCCUCGGGUUAGUCUGUUUCGCAGGGCUUGUACCGGUACAAGCCAGCCUUGUACCGGUACAGCACCUGAAGCCUUCGAACCCGAGAGCUGCGCAGCCCGGCUGCGAUGGUUGUACCGGUACAGCCAUCACCCUUGUACCGGUACAGCAGCUCCAGAAUGCUGUUUUUCGAUCUGUUUCGAUUUCUUUUCGCGUCCAACAACGCUAAAACUAUUCCAACACUUUUGGAACUCAUUUUUACUCUUCCAAACAUGUUGAAACACUGAAUGGAACUUGUCCAAACCGUCCAAUCGCCCACUUUGGUCCAUUUGGCCAAAGUUAGCCAAUAUCGUCGAAUUUCGAUAUCUUACACUAACAGUAUAACUUUGCAACGAGCACUUUUUCUCAUUCAAUCGAACAAAGUGUAAAACCAAAAUAUAUUGUUCUAUUAUGCCCCUAGAGUGUAAAUUUGGAACGAAUCAAUGUCAACG